rnacentral:lncRNA from 1 species
GGGUACAACUCUCAACCUCUCACAAAAUAAAACAACGAGAGGUAGACCACCUAUCGACUCGUCCUCGAAGGAAGCUAGCUCGAAGCAACCCCCUUCCCGCGGUCCCUAGCCUCUCCCGGCGUGGAAGGCUCUGAAAGAAAACAUAAAACAUAGGGCGUGAGAACUAUAAUUUAUAGUUCCCAGUGGGCAAUUACUGACCUCAGCUCAAUGCACCACUAAGCCCAAAAAGGAAGGGGUAAGUAACGACAAUAAUAGGCAAUGAGUAAAUUUCAUUUACGAAAGCAUAAUUAAAAGCUACACUAAUGCAUUGCAAUUAAACAUGGCAUUUAUAUAAUGCACCUUUACCUCGUCAUGAAUACUAUGCCUCUACAUGACCACAUGGGAUAUCAUGAGAUACUUUAUGAAGCUAAGAAAGUAAUACUUUUCAUGACUACAGUGCAUAUAAAAGGCAAUAAACAACAUCUCCUAGCAUACUAUAUGCAUGUAUGAAUACCCAAAUGUCCACAUCUAUGCUAGAAGCAAGCCCAAGUAAUCCAACUACUACUCUCUAUCUAGGGGUUAUCACACACUCAACAUUGUGUCGGUUUCCAAUUCCAAGUAGGGACCUACCCAAGGUAGUCCAGCUUGUGCCGCCUAAGUGCCUGUGGUAGCCCAACAUCCCUACUCUUGGAAUGUAUCUGUCCCACUCGACCCCGUAGGCUUCUCAAUACCGCACGAGCGAACAUAGUCGCGUAGGCUAACUCCGGAGUGCCGGCUUGUAGGGAGCGACCCUCACAAGCAUGUGCGAAUGAGCACAAAUGGCAAGCAAGCAUAGUCCAAGUCUCAACUGUCCAAUCCUCAUGUCUCAAGCAUUGUAGUAGCUACUAGUAACCCAACGAUCUAGCUCUAUGUCACAAAGUGAUAUCACAACACUCACUUGCUUAGUGCCUCUUUAUGACACUUAAGCAUCAUAACUAAUCAUGCCCAAUUCAUGUUCCAUAUUUCAAUUAAGACGAUAAUAGCAAGGUUCACUUUAGCCCGGGCCUAAUGCCUCUUUAUGACAUUUGCCCAAUCUCUCAAAUAGUCUAAGUCCUUAAGCCUCUCUAGGCUUCCAAAAAUCCCUAAUGUCACAAUUGGCCUAUAAGCUAAACGCAUAAAAGCAAGGUUCAUUUUCAUAAUAGGGAUCUUAGUUUCAAUCUCAACCAGCAUGCUAUCUCACACAUGCAUGCUCUCUACUACAUAGAGGUCCAAAAUUUUACUAUAUGUAACAUGGACAUUUUAAGCAUUCAAAAAAUCACAAUAAAUACAUAUAACAAGAAUAUGCAUGCUUUUUCAUUUUACGACAUUUAAAACAUCAACAAUGGGAUUUUCCCAUUGUGUGUGUCACGCCCCGCGACCCGCCAAUUUUGCCAGAUCCGGGCGCGUCGAACAGACUCCGGACGAACAGCACCUCCCCUGUCCGCCCAAGGCUAACAACGAGAUUGUGUACAACAAGUUCCCAGGAAAAAUAACUUGAAUACAUACACAAUCGAUAACUACAACGAGAGCACAAUCAGUGCAAAACAACCAAGAGCAAUAUACAAGUAAUGAUAAAGAGAGGAACAUCUAUCUAUUACAUUCAUUCAACCUUUAUAAUACAAUUUGAUUAUACAUUAAGCUUCUAAACAUAAUAUAAAGCUUACAUCUUCCAAAAUAUAAACAUCAGCUUACAUUCAUUCCAGAAUAUCUCACAUUAGCUCUUGGAGCCGCUCGAUCUGACUUCCUUGGCGUUGAAUCACGCCGAUAAGCGUAGUCAUCUGCGCUCGUAAUUCUUGCACUUCACUUGACCCAGCUCGCUCAGGCACCUCGGGAGGCGGUGCCGGAACGGUUCUACGCGCGUAGUGUCUCCUUGGUGCCAUUAGCUCCUGACACACAACGACUCGAUUAAUUACCUUAACCUGCUAACCUCGUCGCAACUAUUAGACGACGCGACUCAAUCGGGCGAAAGUCAUACAAGGGUGCCUAUUCUCACCACUCAGUUUCAUGUUGUAUGCAUCCAACAUGAACACCCUCAGGUGAGAAUAAACAAAACCUUGAGUCCACCUCUAACAUCCGUCUUAGAGGUUUACCAACUCGACCCAAUCGAUCCAACUUUCGCCAUCGUAUAGGUCCACGUCACUCACGCACCUAUAACCUUAGGGUUCACCAUCCUAGGGUCUCCUAGGUCCAUCCUAAACUCUCUCUUUACUUGCUCUUAAUUGCUCUGAUACCACUUUAUCUGUCACGCCCCGCGACCCGCCAAUUUGGCCAGAUCCGGGCGCGUCGAACAGACGCCGGACGGACAGCACCUCCCCUGUCCGCCCAAGGCUAACAACGAGAUUGUGUACAACAAGUUCCCAGGAAAAAUAAACUUGAAUACAUACCAAUCGAUACUGACACGAAGCACCAGAAUCAGUGAAAAACAAACCAAGAGGCAAGAUACAACUAUAUGAACAUACAAGUAAUGAUAAAGAGAGAACAUCUAUCUAUUACAUUUCAUUGCAGCCUAUUAUAAUGACAAGUUUGAUAUAUACAUUAAUUCUUCAAAAACAAUAAUAUAUAACGCUGUACAUCUUUGCCAAAAUAUAAACUUAGCUUACAUUCAUAUCGAGAAUAUCUACAUCAUAUACCAUCAAUCUACUCUCAUGCAAUAAAGGUGACUCUAAUGAGAAUAUGGAAAGUAAUACUAAUUGCAUACUAGGCGCUAGGCUCCUUUACCGUGAUUCUUGCCAGUGUGAACUCGCGCUCGGCCUAUAGUAAAAUGGGGGUGAGAACUAACUUCCUUAGUUCCAGUGGUUCGGCCGCCGACUCCGCCGAUCCGCCCACUAGGUCCAAGCGGGCAAAAGUAGAUAAUCGAUAGAUAGAUAGAGUAAGGAAGCGGUAAAUGACAGAAGUAAAGCUCACUACUAUGUGCCAAUCUAAUAUAUAUGAAUGCAUGUACAAUGAAAUAGGUAAGCAACCUCACACUGUCAUCACCCAAAGGUAAAGCUAUUCACUCGUUCGUUUUCCUCAUUUACCUUGUUCUUAAAUCUCGUGGCUUCCCUGAAGGAGCCUCCUGCUCACUAGCCAUUCUCGAAGAUAGGGAGGGUCAACUCGCACUACGAACUGGGAGACCGUCUGUGUGACCAAAAUAGGUAAUCCUUGGGGACCGGCAAUAGGCGAUCCACAGUGACGACACCCGGAGCGCACUACUUGUGUGGGCUUCCAUCACAAGAUUUAAACAGACGCGUGAGCAUGAUCCAAUCCUCUAAGUCUCGAGGAGUACCCUGUCCUCUAAGGGCUCACCAUGCAUCAUAUAGUCCAUAAUUCAUAAUACACUACGAUCACAUAUGUCACUUGUUCUUUUGUUUACUAUCAACUAGAUGCCACUCGUUCUUUACAAGUUUCCAAUGCAAUAGCCAAUACAUUACUAAAUUCCCAUCCACACUUAUCAUCUCAUUAUAGGGUUCCACAUCACAUAUAUAAACCUCAAGCAUGCUAGAUAUAAGUACUAAGCCAAAUACAUUGUUCUACCAAAGAACAUGCAAGGUAUAGGACCAAACCAUCAUUUAUCACCCUAUAAUGCAAGAUGUCAAUAUGUCAAUAUGCAAUUUGAUCAAUAUAAAACUUAGACAUAGAAGGGAGUCCGGUUGCUUCGGGAUGGACACCACCCACCUUUUUAUCGCGUUCCGAUUGCUCGUCGUCACUCGCAAUCGGCCUCCCGCGGCGCACGCUGCACGGCUCGACCCCACUCACAUGCGACCGUCAAAUGACCACCGAUUUGCGAUCCGUAAAUUAAAGGCCUUCGGUUUCUUGUCACGAUGCUUCAAAUCCGUUUCCAGGAUUUUACGACGUCGCCUCGGCCCUCCAGGCGGAAACGAAGCCUAAACGUCCGUUUCUUUAAUAACUUUGCACCGGCUCGACGAAUCGCCGAACCGUCGCUUCCAACACGUUCAGUGACCUAUCAAUUUGGUUUACGGAGG